AUGACAGAAUGGAGAGAGGAGAGGUGGUGAUGACAGAAUGGAGAGAGGAGAGAUGGUGAUGACAGAAUGGAGAGAGGAGAGGUGGUGAUGACAGAAUGGAGAGAGGAGAGGUGGUGAUGACAGAAUGGAGAGAGGAGAGGUGGUGAUGACAGAAUGGAGAGAGGAGAGAUGGUGAUGACAGAAUGGAGAGGGGAGAGGUGGUGAUUAGAGAAUGGAGAGAGGAGAGAUGGUGAUGACAGAAUGGAGAGAGGAGAGGUGGUGAUGACAGAAUGGAGAGAGGAGAGAUGGUGAUGACAGAAUGGAGAGAGGAGAGAUGGUGAUGACAGAAUGGAGAGAGGAGAGGUGGUGAUUACAGAAUGGAGAGAGGAGAGGUGGUGAUGACAUAAUGGAGAGAGGAGAGGUGGUAAUGACAGAACGGAGAGAGGAGAGGUGGUGAUGACAGAACGGAGAGAGGAGAGGUGGUGAUGACAGAAUGGAGAGAGGAGAGAUGGUGAUGACAGAAUGGAGAGAGGAGAGGUGGUGAUUACAGAAUGGAGAGAGGAGAGGUGGUGAUGAUGUUUGGUUUCUCUCAUGUCAUGUCUGUAUGCU
rnacentral:lncRNA from 1 species